UACAGAGGGGGCAAGCGUUGUUCGGAAUUACUGGGCGUAAAGGGCGCGUAGGCGGCCAUCUAAGUCGAACGUGAAAUCCCCGGGCUCAACCCGGGAACUGCGUCCGAUACUGGUUGGCUUGAAUCCGGGAGAGGGAUGCGGAACUCCAGGUGUAGCGGUGAAAUGCGUAGAUAUCUGGAGGAACACCGGUGGCGAAGGCGGCAUCCUGGACCGGCAUUGACGCUGAGGCGCGAAAGCCAGGGGAGCAAACGGG
rnacentral:rRNA from 1 species